ACACCCCCGCAGCUAGCACACACAUCUUAUCCAUUCUCCACCCCGACUCACGCACAGCAACCCUAGCGAGCGGCGACUGGAGGCGCGGGCGACGCGGCGGGGCCCAAGGCGGCGGGAGGCGGGCGCCGCGACUCAUGGCUGUUCGCUCGCUCGCGCCGCUGGGCGCGACGCGGCGGGCCCAAGGCGGCGGGAGGCGGGCGCCGCGGCCCGCGGCGACUGGAGCUGCGCGGCACGGCAGUGGCCCGCGGCGGAGGGGAGCAGGCUCCCGGCUGUUGGCUCGCGCUGCUGCGGCUGCUGAAGCAUCCAUGGAGUCGCCAACCCCCAAGUCGCCGUACGAAAUUUUGUUAACCAUUCAUGUGACGAUUGCAUCUGUCGAAAGGAGCUUUUCUAAACUGAAGUUUGUUGAAAUCCUACUUGCGUUCGACUAUGACACAAGAAAGACUGAAUGUAUUGGCAACAAUAGCACUUGAAAAUGAUGUCUUGGAGAAGAUUAAUUAUGAAGAUUUGAUCGAGGAUUUCAUAUCAAGAAAUACUAGAAGAACGCUGCUUUUUGGUAGAAAAUGAGGAACUUUCGCACAAAGAAAACACACACAGGGCAGGAACAUGAGUACUCUCGCCCUUCCAUGUUUCUGGUCGAUCGAACUCUUCGGUGACCAGAAAAUGAGAAAAGGGCAGGUCGUCGAUGUACAGACCACAGGCGCUCGGACGCACGGCCGGCAUCAUGGUCGUCAUAGCUCAUAACCCAUGAGGGGGUGACGAAGCAAGAAAGGAAGAACUGCCAGGCGACGAGCCCAACGGCCUUGUACUUCGCCCAGACAAGCACCAUUGGGUCGACGUUGCAGCCAGCGGCUGCGGCCAUGCAUUUGGAAAUUGCAGGAGUUUUUUCUUGAAAAGAAAAUAUAAAAUUUACACCUCUUGCACCACUGAUAAAGAUGUGCCUUGCUGUAAUAAGAUGAUGGGCUCAUGACUUAUCUUUCUUGGACAAAACAAGGAAUCUAGCCAUAACUAUGUACAUAUCUGGAUACUCAUCUUUUUUUUCUCAAGCUAUCAUGUCAAGUGUAGAGGAAAUGAUGAUAUACAGAAUAAGGAGAAAGACAUGCUGACAGUACAUCCGGUUCCAAUUUUCAUCAUACUAUGUGCUAAUAUAUGCUCUCAAUGAUAAUAUGCCACCUUGCGCUAUCUACACACGUAACAUGUUCUUCUUUUGUAUAAUUAUACACUAUAAAAUUAUUGUAUGCUUACCUUUGGUGGAAUUUCAGAGUUGAAAGGACAUGAAGUUUCCACGCGAGGGGAGUUAAUUUUGGUUGUCCUUUGUUUCAUAAAAAAUGUUGGUGUCAUUUAGAACUAUGUUUAUUUGGUGUAACCGGAAUUAAUCACUGGUUAAACAUAUAGAAGGAGUCUCUCUAUUGGAAGGGGAAAACAUAAUAUUAGACACCAUUUAUUUUUUUGCUCGCUGAUGCAUGCAAUGUAUCAUUUGGCCUUGAUUUAAUGUACUGCACUUUUCUUCAUUGUUCUCUGUUCUUUAAUAAGUCAAACUCAUAUAGAACCUGAUAUU